rnacentral:rRNA from 1 species
UUUCGCCCUCAAAUCAGGUAGGACUACCCGCUGAACUUAAGCAUAUCAAUAAGCGGGAGGAA